UACGGAGGGUGCAAGCGUUAAUCGGAAUUACUGGGCGUAAAGCGCACGUAGGCGGCUUGUUAAGUCGGAUGUGAAAGCCCCGGGCUCAACCUGGAAAUGGCAUCCGAUACUGGCAAGCUAGAGUACAAGAGAGGGUGGUAGAAUUUCUAGUGUAGCGGUGAAAUGCGUAGAUAUUAGAAGGAAUACCGGUGGCGAAGGCGGCCACCUGGCUUGAUACUGACGCUGAGGUGCGAAAGCGUGGGGAGCAAACAGG
rnacentral:rRNA from 1 species